UACGUAGGGUGCAAGCAUUAAUCGGAUUUAUUGGGCGUAAAGGGCGCGUAGGCGGGGAUGCCAGUCAAUUGUGAAAUCCCGGGGCUCAACCUCGGAACUGCAGUUGAAACUACAUCCCUAGAGGGUAGGCGGAGAAAACGGAAUUCCACAAGUAGCGGUGAAAUGCGUAGAUAUGUGGAAGAACACCAGUGGCGAAGGCGGUUUUCUAGCUUAUACCUGACGCUGAGGCGCGAAAGCAAGGGGAGCAAACAGG
rnacentral:rRNA from 1 species